GCCGAGCUUGUGUAAGCUCUUCAGGAUAAUAUCCUUUAAGCUUAAGCCUCAUCUUUCCAGGUUUCUCCUUCAUCACAUGAUCUCCAUACAUUCUACAUUUCAGUACUAAAAGUAUGGAAAUUCUUGAAAUAGUUCAUGCACUUUCAUGUCUCUGCUUUUGGCUAGUAUUCCUUUUGCCUGGAAUACUCUUGUUGGGUCACAUGAAGUCCUAUUUAUUCUUUUCUACUUAGUUCAAAUGCUACAGCAGCCAUGCAUUCAACUAACAUUUAGCUACCUACAGUGCCUAAAGUAUGUCAGGCACUGGAGAUACUAAACAAUGAACAGUGACAUAUUAAAAUAACAGAAUAUCUGUUCAGCUAUUAAGAUGAAUAAGGUGGAGUUACACAACACUGACAAAUCUCAAAAACAUUAUGUAAAACAAGCUAGCUGCAAAAAGAUGUACACAUUACAGAUUGCAUAAAGGUGGUUAGGAGAGUGGUUUCCUUAGGCAAAAGGAAAGAGAAUGAGACGGGGUAGAGCUGACAAAGGACUUCAAUCACUUAUAUAAUCAUUUAUUUCUCCAAUUCAGUGGGACCCAGCUAGGAUUUCAAUGAACUUUGGCCUGAACCCCUCGGCCGACCCUAGAAUAAUCGCCCUUCAGGCCCGGAUUGCUUCUGCUCUCACCUUCCCU
rnacentral:lncRNA from 10 species